GGGCAAGAACUGUCUUAUGGUUAAUAUCCCUGAUACUUGACGGUACCCCUAAAGGAAGCACCGGCUAACUCCGUGCCAGCAGCCGCGGUAAUACGGGGGGUGCAAGCGUUGUUCGGAAUUAUUGGGCGUAAAGGGCGUGUAGGCGGUCUGAUUAGUCUGAUGUGAAAGCCCUGGGCUCAACCCAGGAAGUGCAUUGGAAACUGUCACACUUGAAUUCUGGAAAAGGUAGUGGAAUUCCUAGUGUUAGAGUGAAAUCCGUAAAUUUUAGGAAGAACACCGGUGGCGAAGGGGGAUACCUGGACCGAUUUUGACCCUUAAACGCCAAAGCGUGGGUAACAAACAGGAUUAAAUUCCCUGGUAGUCCACGCCGUAAACGAUAAGUACUAUGUGUGGCGGGUAUUGACCCCUGCAGUGCCGUAGCUAACGCAUUAUGUACUCCGCCUGGGAAGUACGGCCGCCAGACUGAAACUCAAA
rnacentral:rRNA from 1 species